rnacentral:rRNA from 1 species
UACGGAGGGUGCGAGCGUUGUCCGGAAUCACUGGGCGUAAAGGGCGCGUAGGCGGCUCGGUAAGUAGGGGGUGAAAUCCUGCGGCUUAACCGCAGGGCUGCCUUCUAAACUGUCGAGCUUGAGCACGGUAGAGGCAGAUGGAAUUCCCGGUGUAGCGGUGGAAUGCGUAGAGAUCGGGGAGAACAUCAGUGGCGAAGGCGGUCUGCUGGGCCGUUGCUGACGCUGAGGCGCGACAGCGUGGGGAGCAAACAGG